CAUUCUCAAACCUGAUUCAUGCUUUUGCAAGUUCAGGCUUGGAUUUGGAGUGUGCUGGCCUUUGUUUUGAAGGGGUCGGCUCCUCUGAAAUUUAUUAGCAGACGGUUCCCCGAAAGCCUGUUGGCAUUGAUAGCUUGUCUAUGCUGCUUGUUUUUUUUGGGGUGGCUUGCUCACAAACAAGUCUUUCGAGACAUUUGAACCA
rnacentral:misc_RNA from 1 species